rnacentral:rRNA from 1 species
UGGGGAAUUUUGGACAAUGGGCGAAAGCCUGAUCCAGCAAUGCCGCGUGUGUGAAGAAGGCCUUCGGGUUGUAAAGCACUUUUGUCCGGAAAGAAAUCCUUGGCUCUAAUACAGUCGGGGGAUGACGGUACCGGAAGAAUAAGCACCGGCUAACUACGUGCCAGCAGCCGCGGUAAUACGUAGGGUGCAAGCGUUAAUCGGAAUUACUGGGCGUAAAGCGUGCGCAGGCGGUUUGCUAAGACCGAUGUGAAAUCCCCGGGCUCAACCUGGGAACUGCGUUGGUGACUGGCAGGCUAGAGUAUGGCAGAGGGGGGUAGAAUUCCACGUGUAGCAGUGAAAUGCGUAGAGAUGUGGAGGAAUACCGAUGGCGAAGGCAGCCCCCUGGGCCAAUACUGACGCUCAUGCACGAAAGCGUGGGGAGCAAACAGGAUUAGAUACCCUGGUAGUCCACGCCCUAAAACGAUGUCAACUAGUUGUUGGGGAUUCAUUUCCUUAGUAACGUAGCUAACGCGUGAAGUUGACCGCCUGGGGAGUACGGUCGCAAGAUUAAAACUCAAAGGAAUUGACGGGGUCAUAGCUGUUUCCU